rnacentral:rRNA from 1 species
AUUGAACGCUGGCGGCAUGCCUUACACAUGCAAGUCGAACGGCAGCACGGGAGCAAUCCUGGUGGCGAGUGGCGAACGGGUGAGUAAUAUAUCGGAACGUGCCCAGUCGUGGGGGAUAACGCAGCGAAAGCUGUGCUAAUACCGCAUACGAUCUAUGGAUGAAAGCGGGGGAUCGCAAGACCUAGCGCGAUUGGAGCGGCCGAUAUCAGAUUAGCCAGUUGGUGAUGUAAAGGCUCAUCAAGGCGACGAUCUGUAGCUGGUCUGAGAGGACGACCAGCCACACUGGAACUGAGACACGGUCCAGACUCCUACGGGAGGCAGCAGUGGGGAAUUUUGGACAAUGGGCGAAAGCCUGAUCCAGCAAUGCCGCGUGCAGGAUGAAGGCCUUCGGGUUGUAAACUGCUUUUGUACGGAACGAAACGGUGAGCUCUAAUACAGUUUGCUAAUGACGGUACCGUAAGAAUAAGCACCGGCUAACUACGUGCCAGCCGCCGCCGUAAGAC